rnacentral:lncRNA from 1 species
UGAUGCAUUAAAGCUCAUUACUGUUUAACUGUAAUUGAUCACUUUUAAACGAACUCAAUAACUGAUAGUCUAUUACGCACACCAAGACCCACAUUAAGUUCACUUGUUGAUAAAAAAUCUAACAAUCUCCCACUUUAGUUUUAUGUAUCACCUUAACCUGUGUUAAACAACUAUAGGAGUACUCAGAACUUUGCUAUAAAUACCUAAUGCAUCAUCAAACAAUCUUGUUCAUCGAUUAUAACAACAUAGGAUCAAGGCGGUAUUCGCUACAAUUAUUAUAACUAAACCAAUCAAUGAUCACGUAUAUCAAUAUAAUCGAAUGAUAUUGAU